AGGGGUAACGCCUGCCCAAUGGAGUAAUCUAAAUGGCCGCGGUAUCUUGACCGUGCAAAGGUAGCAUAAUUAUUUGUCUCUUAAAUAGGGACUCGUAUGAAUGGCAUCACAUUUUCUAACUGUCUCCUUUCCUUACCUUCUAAACUUCUAUUAAAGUGAAGAAGCCUUAAUAAAAAAGAAAGACGAGAAGACCCUGUCGAGCUUAAACUCCUAAAAGAAAAACGUAAAAUUUUGUUCACAAAAAUCCUUAUAGAAGUUUUGGUUGGGGCAACCACGGAGAAACAAAAAUCCUCCAGAAACCUAAAAAGAUAAUAAAUCAUUUAGUACAAAUAAAGAUCCAGAAUACUGAAAACAGAUAUAGUUACCGCAGGGAUAACAGCGUCAUCUCCUUUAAGAGUUCACAUUGACAAGGAAGAUUGCGACCUCAUGUUGGAUUAGGGCCUCCAAAUGGUGCAGC
rnacentral:rRNA from 1 species